rnacentral:rRNA from 1 species
UACGUAGGAGGCAAGCGUUGUCCGGAAUCACUGGGCGUAAAGCGCGUGUAGGUGGAAGAGGAAGUCUGCUGUGAAAGCGCCUGGCUUAACCGGGCGAGGUCGGUGGAAACUCCUCAUCUGGAGGUCGAUAGAGGGGGGUGGAAUUCUGGGUGUAGUGGUGAAAUGCGUAGAGAUCCGGAGGAACACCUGUGGCGAAGGCGGCCCCCUGGGCCGCACCUGACGCUGAGACGCGAAAGCGCGGGGAGCGAACGGG